UACGAAGGGGGCUAGCGUUGUUCGGAUUUACUGGGCGUAAAGGGUACGCAGGCGGCCUACCAAAUCAGGGGUGAAAUCCCGGGGCUCAACCCCGGAACUGCCUUUGAAACUGGUAGGCUAGAGUAUGGGAGAGGUGAGUGGAAUUCCUAGUGUAGAGGUGAAAUUCGUAGAUAUUAGGAGGAACACCAGUGGCGAAGGCGGCUCACUGGCCCAUAACUGACGCUCAGGUACGAAAGCGUGGGGAGCAAACAGG
rnacentral:rRNA from 1 species